rnacentral:rRNA from 1 species
AACGAACGCUGGCGGCAGGCUUAACACAUGCAAGUCGAACGCCCCGCAAGGGGAGUGGCAGACGGGUGAGUAACGCGUGGGAAUCUACCCAGAUCUUCGGAACAACUGAGGGAAACUUCAGCUAAUACCGGAUACGCCCUACGGGGGAAAGAUUUAUCGGUUCUGGAUGAGCCCGCGUUGGAUUAGCUAGUUGGUGGGGU